rnacentral:rRNA from 1 species
AGAGUUUGAUCAUGGCUCAGGAUGAACGCUGGCGGCGUGCCUAAUACAUGCAAGUCGAGCGAACAGACGAGGAGCUUGCUCCUCUGACGUUAGCGGCGGACGGGUGAGUAACACGUGGAUAACCUACCUAUAAGACUGGGAUAACUUCGGGAAACCGGAGCUAAUACCGGAUAAUAUAUUGAACCGCAUGGUUCAAUAGUGAAAGACGGUUUUGCUGUCACUUAUAGAUGGAUCCGCGCCGCAUUAGCUAGUUGGUAAGGUAACGGCUUACCAAGGCAACGAUGCGUAGCCGACCUGAGAGGGUGAUCGGCCACACUGGAACUGAGACACGGUCCAGACUCCUACGGGAGGCAGCAGUAGGGAAUCUUCCGCAAUGGGCGAAAGCCUGACGGAGCAACGCCGCGUGAGUGAUGAAGGUCUUCGGAUCGUAAAACUCUGUUAUUAGGGAAGAACAAAUGUGUAAGUAACUAUGCACGUCUUGACGGUACCUAAUCAGAAAGCCACGGCUAACUACGUGCCAGCAGCCGCGGUAAUACGUAGGUGGCAAGCGUUAUCCGGAAUUAUUGGGCGUAAAGCGCGCGUAGGCGGUUUUUUAAGUCUGAUGUGAAAGCCCACGACUCAACCGUGGAGGGUCAUUGGAAACUGGAAAACUUGAGUGCAGAAGAGGAAAGUGGAAUUCCAUGUGUAGCGGUGAAAUGCGCAGAGAUAUGGAGGAACACCAGUGGCGAAGGCGACUUUCUGGUCUGUAACUGACGCUGAUGUGCGAAAGCGUGGGGAUCAAACAGGAUUAGAUACCCUGGUAGUCCACGCCGUAAACGAUGAGUGCUAAGUGUUAGGGGGUUUCCGCCCCUUAGUGCUGCAGCUAACGCAUUAAGCACUCCGCCUGGGGAGUACGACCGCAAGGUUGAAACUCAAAGGAAUUGACGGGGGCCCGCACAAG